rnacentral:lncRNA from 1 species
CACGCGUGUGAGCCUCUGUAUGAGACUGCUUCACUGAUGGGGGAUGAAAGGGAUGCGAAUGUCAGAGGAUCCUGGGACUGAAUGUGGCUGCAGGUGGGGUGAACUGCUCAGGGCAGCAGUGGCAGUGAGGGCUGCUGCCUCAUGUAAACACUGCAUCCCCAGAGCUCAGAGCGAGAGGUUCUGUGCUCCUGGGCUGCCACCGCGGGGCUGUGAGCAGCUCCAUCCAGAGCAAGCCCAGACUGGAGAGGUUCAUUUAUGACAUCAUCAGCCAUCUCCUCAUGAAGUAAUCAGCUAAAGAAAUAAGACUGGGCAGAUGAAAACCUAGGAAGGCUGAAGAAGUAAUUCCAGCACAGGCUGACUUCAGAGAAAUGCCUCCCAGAUAGCAGAGUGCAGAAUAGCUAAACAGUACCGAGAAGACACAAGGCAGAAUUAUUAUCAUCAGAGCAAACUUCUCCUGGCCAGACAUGCCCAGCUGAGGAGCACUGGAGGAUUUCAGUGAGGUGUCCUUGGUGCAGGGAAAUUUACAGGCUCUUCUUGCAAAAACUCCUCUCACCCAACUCUCCAAAAUCAUAUCAAGUCUAAUAUCUUUGGGGCCAAUGAUGCACCAGGUUUGCUGCAUUACAUCACCGGCACCCGGCUCCAUUGGCUGCUCCCAUCCCGAGGACAAGACAUUCCUCCUCGUACCUUUCCAAAGCUGCUGCUUCUCAGGAAUUAACUCUUCGAGGGGUGUCACCUGGGGACAGCCUGGGUUCUUGACUGAGAAACCCACACGUAUUUGAUAUAAGGGGUUUUCAAACUCCAAAGGAACAGCCACGUCUCCUCAGUUUAUUCUUGAACCUUCACUGCAGAAAAUGAACUAUACAUUUGCCUUCCUUCGGGAAAAAAAUAAGAAAGCUGUCAGUGGCAUUGUAAAAAGCAGAGUAGUCUAAAUCAGGAGCGCUCUGCAGCCUGACUAAAUCAGGAACUUCUUAGGGAAGGAGAAGGGCUGCUGCAGCAUAAGGAGCCAUUCCUCUAACUGGUUAACUGGAUUCGUCGGUGGCGCUGAAAGAAAAGGCGCUGCAGAUGCAGGUUAGCUCUGCCUUGCUGCAUUCGCAUUGCUCUGUUUCAGCUCCCAUCCAAAAAUAGCCGAUGGGCUUAGAUGAUGGUGCAGGAAAAAGAGUGGGGUUCAUCCCUGUGUGCACGUAAUUUGUGUCGGUGUGUUCUUUCCCCUUCCCAAAUUUCCAGUGUGCCUGGUGUGAGAAAUCAG